UACAGAGGGUGCGAGCGUUAAUCGGAAUUACUGGGCGUAAAGCGCACGUAGUCGGCUUUGCAAGUCGGUUGUGAAAUCCCCGGGCUCAACCUGGGAACUGCAUCCGAGACUGCAUUGCUAGAGUAUGGGAGAGGAAAGCGGAAUUCCUGGUGUAGCGGUGAAAUGCGCAGAUAUCAGGAGGAACACCGAUGGCGAAGGCAGGUCUCUGGGCCACUACUGACGCUGAGAAGCGAAAGCAUGGGGAGCGAACAGG
rnacentral:rRNA from 1 species